AGGGCCAGCUAAGAUUGGGAUCUGGGGAUUCUCCAAACUGCACAGAAUCUUAGCUAGGGGUUAUCCCGAACCCCUGCAACACCCCUGCAGCCCACUCCUCGUUGUAAGUGUGAAAAA